CGGUGGAUCACUCGGCUCGUGGAUCGAUGAAGAACGUAGCAAACUGCGCGUCGAAGUGUGAACUGCAGGACACAUGAACAUCGACGUUUCUAACGCACAUUGCGGCCCA
rnacentral:rRNA from 1 species